AUACUUUACCUGGCAGAGGAGAUACCAUGAUCAAGAAGGCGUUUUUCCCAAGGGGAAGCUUAUCUAUUGUGCUGACCUUAUGUGCUGAGCCCAGUGAUUUCCCAAAUGUGGGAAAUGCAAAUGCAUAAUUUGUGGUAGUGAGGAACUGCAUUCACACUCUUUCCUG